AACCUAGCACACCUGCGGUGUGUACCUGCGGAGGGAUCAUUACACAAAUAACAUAUGAAGGCUGUACGCGGCUGUGCCCUUUGGGUGCAGCGUCUGCUGAGGCUGGAUUAUUUAUUUUUCACCCUUGUCUUUUGCGCACUUGUUGUUUCCUGGGCGGGUUCGCCCGCCACCAGGACCACAUGAUAAACCUUUUUUAUGCAGUUGCAAUCAGCGUCAGUACAACGAAAUGUAAAUCAUUUA
rnacentral:misc_RNA from 1 species